CCGCCNCACACAGAAAGUCGGCAACACCCGAAGCCGGUGGCCUAACCCGCAAGGGAGGGAGCCGUCGAAGGUGGGGCUGGCGAUUGGGGUG
rnacentral:rRNA from 1 species